UACGUAGGGCGCAAGCGUUGUCCGGAAUUAUUGGGCGUAAAGAGCUCGUAGGCGGUUUGUCGCGUCUGCUGUGAAAUCCCGAGGCUCAACCUCGGGCUUGCAGUGGGUACGGGCAGACUAGAGUGCGGUAGGGGAGACUGGAAUUCCUGGUGUAGCGGUGGAAUGCGCAGAUAUCAGGAGGAACACCGAUGGCGAAGGCAGGUCUCUGGGCCGCAACU
rnacentral:rRNA from 1 species